rnacentral:rRNA from 1 species
AGUGGCGGACGGGUGAGUAACACGUGGGAACGUGCCUUUAGGUUCGGAAUAGCUCCUGGAAACGGGUGGUAAUGCCGAAUGUGCCCUUAGGGGGAAAGAUUUAUCGCCUUUAGAGCGGCCCGCGUCUGAUUAGCUAGUUGGUGAGGUAAAGGCUCACCAAGGCUACGAUCAGUAGCUGGUCUGAGAGGAUGACCAGCCACAUUGGGACUGAGACACGGCCCAAACUCCUACGGGAGGCAGCAGUGGGGAAUCUUGCGCAAUGGGCGAAAGCCUGACGCAGCCAUGCCGCGUGGAUGAUGAAGGUCUUAGGAUUGUAAAAUCCUUUCACCGGUGAAGAUAAUGACUGUAGCCGGAGAAGAAGCCCCGGCUAACUUCGUGCCAGCAGCCGCGGUAAUACGAAGGGGGCUAGCGUUGCUCGGAAUUACUGGGCGUAAAGGGAGCGUAGGCGGACAUUUAAGUCAGAGGUGAAAUCCCGGAGCUUAACUUCGGAACUGCCUUUGAUACUGGGUGUCUUGAGUGUGAGAGAGGUAUGUGGAACUCCGAGUGUAGAGGUGAAAUUCGUAGAUAUUCGGAAGAACACCAGUGGCGAAGGCGACAUACUGGCUCAUUACUGACGCUGAGGCUCGAAAGCGUGGGGAGCAAACAGGAUUAGAUACCCUGGUAGUCCACGCCGU